UACGGGGGGUCCGAGCGUUAAUCGGAAUUACUGGGCGUAAAGGGUCUGUAGGUGGUUUGUUAAGUCAGAUGUGAAAGCCCAGGGCUCAACCUUGGAACUGCAUUUGAUACUGGCAAACUAGAGUAUGGUAGAGGAAUGGGGAAUUUCUGGUGUAGCGGUGAAAUGCGUAGAGAUCAGAAGGAACACCAAUGGCGAAGGCAACAUUCUGGACCAAUACUGACACUGAGGGACGAAAGCGUGGGGAUCAAACAGGAUUAGAUACCCCGGUAGUCC
rnacentral:rRNA from 1 species